UACGUAGGGGGCUAGCGUUGUCCGGAUUUAUUGGGCGUAAAGAGCGUGUAGGCGGCCAGGUAGGUCUGCUGUGAAAACUCGAGGCUCAACCUCGAGACGUCGGCGGAAACCAUCUGGCUAGAGUCCGGAAGAGGAGAGUGGAAUUCCUGGUGUAGCGGUAAAAUGCGCAGAUAUCAGGAAGAACACCCGUGGCGAAGGCGGCUCUCUGGGACGGUACUGACGCUGAGACGCGAAAGCGUGGGGAGCGAACAGG
rnacentral:rRNA from 1 species